rnacentral:rRNA from 1 species
GAGUUUGAUCCUGGCUCAGGACGAACGCUGGCGGCGUGCUUAACACAUGCAAGUCGAACGGGAUGAUUUAGAAGCUUGCUUUUAGAGAAUCUAGUGGCAAACGGGUGAGUAACACGUAGACAACCUGCCGACCGGAUGGGGACAACAUUCCGAAAGGAAUGCUAAUACCGAAUGAAGUCCAAGAGGGGCAUCCCUCCUGGAUGAAAGAUGGCCUCCGAACAUGCUAUCACCUGUCGAUGGGCCUGCGUCUGAUUAGCCAGUUGGCGGGGUAACGGCCCACCAAAGCGACGAUCAGUAGCCGGUCUGAGAGGAUGAACGGCCACAUUGGGACUGAGACACGGCCCAGACUCCUACGGGAGGCAGCAGUGGGGAACCUUCCACAAUGGGCGAAAGCCUGAUGGAGCAACGCCGCGUGAGUGAAGAAGGUCUUCGGAUCGUAAAGCUCUGUUGCAGGGGACGAAAACCGGGUUUGAAAACAUUGAGCCUGGGUGACGGUACCUUGCGAGGAAGCCACGGCUAACUACGUGCCAGCAGCCGCAGUAAUACGUAGGUGGCGAGCGUUGUCCGGAAUUAUUGGGCGUAAAGGGAGCGCAGGCGGGCUGCCAAGUCCAUCUUAAAAGUGCGGGGUUCAACCCCGUGAGGGGAUGGAAACUGGCAGUCUUGAGUGCAGGAGAGGAAAGCGGAAUUCCCAGUGUAGCGGUGAAAUGCGUAGAUAUUGGGAGGAACACCAGUGGCGAAGGCAGCUUUCUGGACUGUAACUGACGCUGAGGCUCGAAAGCCAGGGGAGCGAACGGGAUUAGAUACCCCGG